UACGGGGGGGGCAAGCGUUGUUCGGAAUUACUGGGCGUAAAGGGCUCGUAGGCGGCCAACUAAGUCAGACGUGAAAUCCCUCGGCUUAACCGGGGAACUGCGUCUGAUACUGGAUGGCUUGAGUUUGGGAGAGGGAUGCGGAAUUCCAGGUGUAGCGGUGAAAUGCGUAGAUAUCUGGAGGAAUACCGGUGGCGAAGGCGGCAUCCUGGACCGGCAUUGACGCUGAGGAGCGAAAGCCAGGGGAGCAAAGCGGG
rnacentral:rRNA from 1 species